CUGCAGUUUAGCGGCGAUUCCCGUGACAGAUUGGAGAGAAGCCGCUAUUUGCUCUUUCUUUCCCCAAAGUUUCUACGCUCUGCUAGCUCCUCUGCUUCUUCUGCUCCCUCUGCUCUGCCAGAUCAGCGUAGCGCUGUGCGCGGCCUAUCAAAACAAAGAGGGUCACUAGAGUUGAGUUGAACUAGAGACUCAGGCACAAAGAACAACAGAAAAAAGAGGCUGUAGCUAAGAAGUUGGAGGAAUUGUCGAAAGAAAUUGACAGCAUACCUGAAAUUAUGGAGGAAAUCAAGCAAGAAGAUGAGGAAAAGCAGAAGAAACGACUCAGGCGCGAAGAUGCUAAACAAGAGAGGUUAAAGGCACAGCCACCACGCUUAGGAAAACACAAGUAAGUAGUCUUUUCUAUUUAUCUUAAUUUGCUAUCAAAAUCUUAGUUAUUCGAAUGAGAGAACAUGCUAAGGGUACUUCACUGCUUUUGACCUAACACAUAUUAUUCCAUACACAUAAUUCUUUGUGAGAGUAUAUUUAUCACAAUUUGUUAAUAAGUUUGAGCCUGCUCCCGUUCAAGUUCUCCUGAUCGACGAAAUAAAUGGAUCCAUCCAGAAGCUUAAGUAAGCUUGUAAAAAUUCUCUUGCUUACUUUUUGUUUUCCGUUUUCUGUUUUUUUUUUAAACAUCCAAGUAACUUUUCAAUUUCUAUGAUAUAUAUGUAGGGUUGUUGUACCCUUAUAAAGGAUCAAUAUAAAAGUUUAGAGAAGAGAGGUUUGGUUGUUCCAACAUCCAAAACAUCCAAGAGGAAGUAGUUUACUGCUCUAACAUUAUAUGAAACAUGUCAUCAUCAAAUCAUUUUUGCAUAUAGUUCAUACAUCUAUAUUUUAACCGUUUGAUAUGACACAUUUAAAAUUUGUAUGACAUUGUGUUUGUGUUAUGGCUUUGGCAGGAAGUAGAGUCCUCUUGAUUGUUGGUUCCUUUACCAAGCAUUGACGCCAUGGAUGAAAGACCAAUACAAUUUUAUCUAAAUCAAGAUUUUGUUUUCUUGUGUUUGUUUCAUUUAUACUCCUAGCUAGUCACAGUUAAUGUGUUUCCAUAUCAAUCUGUAAUCCGAUAUUUUUACAUAUAUUUGUAACCAUAUUUAUAAUUUCUCAGAGCUUGAAUGAACUUUUUUUUUGUUUUGCAACAGUGUUCAGUGAGCAUUUCACACUCCUUUGUGCAAUUUAGAAACAAAGAUCAUUAUCAGUAUGAAAUAUCUCCUUAGCCCUCCACUUUUUGCAUUCAAUCUCAGCUGCUUUACUACGUAGGGAAGACCAUUAUCAAAAUGACAAAAUAUGCAUUUUACUUCUGGCAUUUUGUUUCAGAGAUAUCAUUGUCUUGAACUCUUGAUUUGUUAUUACUUUACUCUUGUGAUAUUUUAGCCAUCUUUAGGUUGCUUUAUUUUUGUGUUUGUUUGGAUGUAGAAGCAAUUGAGCAGCUUUGUAAGA